AGGGAAUAGAUACCCGGGUAGUCCUGGCCGUAAACGAUGUCCACUAGAUCGUGGUGGCUCUGACGCCAUCACGGUCGAAAGCAAAAGUGCUAAGUGGACCGCCUGGGAAGUACGGUCGCAAGGCUAAAACUCAAAGGAAUUGACGGGGGUCUCACACAAGCGGUGGAGCAUGUGGUUCAAUUCGAAGCAACGCGCAGAACCUUACCUGGGCUUGACAUGCUAGGAUUAUCCCUAUGAAAGUAGGGUAGGCCCUCGGGUACGACUAGUACAGGUGCUGCAUGGCUGUCGUCAGCUCGUGUCGUGAGAUGUCGGGUUAAG
rnacentral:rRNA from 1 species